rnacentral:rRNA from 1 species
CGUAGGGGCAAGCGUUGUCCGGAUUUAUUGGGCGUAAAGAGCGUGUAGGCGGCCGCACAGGUCCGUUGUGAAAACUGGAGGCUUAACCUUCAGACGUCGAUGGAAACCGUGCGGCUAGAGUCCGGAAGAGGAGAAUGGAAUUCCUGGCGUAGCGGUGAAAUGCGCAGAUAUCAGGAAGAACACCCGUGGCUAAGGCGGUUCUCUAGUACGGUACUGACGCUGAGACGCGAAAGCGUGGGGAGCGAACAGGAUUAGAUACCCUGGUAGUCCACGCCGUAAACGAUGGGUGCUAGGUGUGGGGGGUGUCGACUCCCCCCGUGCCGAAGCUAACGCAUUAAGCACCCCGCCUGGGGAGUACGGCCGCAAGGCUA